UACGGGGGGGGCAAGCGUUGUUCGGAAUUACUGGGCGUAAAGGGUUUGUAGGUGGCUUGUUAAGUCAGACGUGAAAUCCCUCAGCUUAACUGGGGAACUGCGUCUGAUACUGGCGAGCUUGAGUGCAGGAGAGGAACGCGGAAUUCCAGGUGUAGCGGUGAAAUGCGCAGAUAUCGGGAGGAACACCAGUGGCGAAGGCGACUUCCUGGCCUGUUCUUGACGCUGAGGCGCGAAAGCGUGGGGAGCGAACAGG
rnacentral:rRNA from 1 species